rnacentral:tRNA from 1 species
UCCCUGGUGGCUUAGUGGUAAAGAAUCUGCCUGCCAGUGCAGGAGACACAGGUUUGAUCCCUGGUCUGGGAA